rnacentral:rRNA from 1 species
AUUGAACGCUGGCGGCAUGCCUUACACAUGCAAGUCGAACGGCAGCACGGGGCAACCUGGUGGCGAGUGGCGAACGGGUGAGUAAUGCAUCGGAACGUGCCAUUGAGUGGGGGAUAACGUAGCGAAAGUUGCGCUAGUACCGCAUAUUCUGUGAGCAGGAAAGCAGGGGACCGCAAGGCCUUGCGCUCUUUGAGCGGCCGAUGUCAGAUUAGCUAGUUGGUGAGGUAACGGCUUACCAAGGCGACGAUCUGUAGCGGGUCUGAGAGGAUGAUCCGCCACACUGGAACUGAGACACGGUCCAGACUCCUACGGGAGGCAGCAGUGGGGAAUUUUGGACAAUGGGCGCAAGCCUGAUCCAGCCAUGCCGCGUGAGUGAAGAAGGCC